AUUGAACGCUGGCGGCAGGCUUAACACAUGCAAGUCGAGCGGAGAGAGGUAGCUUGCUACCGAUCUUAGCGGCGGACGGGUGAGUAAUGCGUAGGAAUCUGCCUAUUAGUGGGGGACAACAUUUCGAAAGGAAUGCUAAUACAGCAUACGUCCUACGGGAGAAAGCAGGGGAUCUUCGGACCUUGCGCUAAUAGAUGAGCCUAAGUCGGAUUAGCUAGUUGGUGGGGUAAAGGCCUGCCAAGGCGACGAUCUGUAGCGGGUCUGUGAGGAUGAUCCGCCACACUGGGACUGGAACAAGGCCCAGACUCCUACGGGAGGCAGCAGUGGGGAAUAUUGGACAAUGGGCGCAAGCCUGAGCCAGCCAUGCCGCGUGUGUGAAGAAGGCCUUAUGGUUGUAAAGCACUUUAAGCGAGGAGGAGGCUACUUUAGUUAAUACCUAGAGAUAGUGGACGUUACUCGCAGAAUAAGCACCGGCUAACUCUGUGCCAGCAGCCGCGGUAAAAC
rnacentral:rRNA from 1 species